AUGGAUCAGCCUGGCCUAGAAGCUGCCCAGCACCUAAAGGAAGAAACUGACGUGCAAGCAGAAAAUUACCAUAUAGUGCGACCUGUGCUGGAAAAGAGGUACACAGAGAACGCUGAGGGAGCAGUCAGCAGAUGGGCUCAGGGAGCUGAGCCAGGAAGAGCUGAGGUGGAAGGAGGGGCAGGAAGAGGGCAGCAGGGAGCCGGCUGGAGAGCUCAGCUUCCCAUCCAGCAAGUGCCUCAAAGCUGGCCUUCUAUCUCCAAAUGUUGGACAGACAGCCAUGGAGAUCCAUACAUCUUCAUUGCUCGUCAAUGUGGCAAUUCCCAGAUUGUCUCUGUUCGGGACCACUCUCCUGACCUCAAGAUGCAUCCACUCAGUGGAGUGGAUGGUUCCACUGUAGUACAAGCCUGGGAAAGAGAUAAUAAAGGGUUGGAAUUGCAUCUCUAUGAAGGUAUCAGGGACAUGUUUCAAAAGGAAUCAAAACAGGAGUUACACAAGGGGUUGGAUAUCGGGAAUGAGAAGAUGAGGGGCCUUCCAGGGGUAACCAGGCCUUCUGACGUCAUGGAAACCAAGAUGCUGUCCCCACUUCCUGUUCUUCCGACGGAGCAGACCCUUUUGCCAUGGUUUCCUGCUUCAACAGUGCUUGGACGGAACCUGGAGCUCGACCCCCAUCCCGGCCGGCCGCUCACAGCCAGCCUUCCGACACCUCCUCACCGCUCCCUGAGACCGUCCCAAGGCCCACACCGCCACUCCAGUGCUGCGCAGCCCCUGCCUCUCCUCAGCUGCCACCAUGAUGACCACAUCCCCCUUGCAGGUGCGCCAGAACUACUACCAGGACUCUGAGGCCGCCAUCAACCGCCAGAUCAACCUGGAGCUCUACGCCUCCUACGUCUACCUGUCCAUGUCUUACUACUUUGACCGCGAUGAUGUGGCUUUGAAGAAUUUUGCCAAAUACUUUCUUUACCAAUCUCAUGAGGAGAGGGAACAUGCUGAGAAACUGAUGAUGCUGCAGAAUCAAUGAGGUAGCCGAAACUUCCUUCAGGCUAUCAAAAAACCAGACUGCGAUGACUGGGAGAGUGGGCUGAAUGCGAUGGAGUGUGCGUUACACUUGGAAAAAAAUGUGAAUCAGUCACUACUGGAACUGCACAAACUGGCCACUGACAAAAAUGACCCUCACUUGUGUGACUUCAUUGAGACACAUUACCUGAAUGAACAGGUGAAAUCCAUUAAAGAACUGGGUAACCACGUAACCAACCUGCGCAAGAUGGGAGCCCCUGAAUCUGGCAUGGCAGAGUAUCUCUUUGAAAAGCACACCCUGGGAGACAGUGAUAAUGAGAACUAAGCCUUAGGCUAACUUCCCCAUAGUCACGGGGUGACUUCUGUGAUCACCAAGGUAGUGCAUGCACUUCAGGGUUUCCUUUACCUUUUCUCUAAGUUGUACCAAAACAUCCACUUAAGUUCUUUAAUUUGUACCA